rnacentral:rRNA from 1 species
UGUUGUAGUCAUAUGCUUGUUUCAAAGAUUAAGCCAUGCAUGUUUAAGUUUAAGCAAUCUAUACUGUGAAACUGCGAAUGGCUCAUUAAAUCAGUUAUAGUUUAUUUGAUAGUACCUUUACCUGGAUAACCGUGGUAAUUCUAGAGCUAAUACAUGCCAAAAACCCCGACUCCGGAAGGGGUGUAUUUAUUAGAUAAAAAACCAAUGCCCUCCGGGGCUCCUUGGUGAUUCAUGAUAACUUAACGAAUCGCAUGGCCUUGCGCCGGCGAUGGUUCAUUCAAAUUUCUGCCCUAUCAACUUCGAUGUG